GACGAACGCUGGCGGCGUGCUUAACACAUGCAAGUCGAACGGAAAGGUCCUGCUUUUGUGGGGUGCUCGAGUGGCGAACGGGUGAGUAACACGUGAGUAACCUGCCCUUGACUUUGGGAUAACUUCAGGAAACUGGGGCUAAUACCGGAUAGGAGCUCCUGCUGCAUGGUGGGGGUUGGAAAGUUUCGGCGGUUGGGGAUGGACUGGCGGCUUAUCGGCUUGUUGGUGGGGUAGUGGCUUACCAAGGCUUUGACGGGUAGCCGGCCUGAGAGGGUGACCGGCGACAAUGGGACUGAGAGACGGCCCAGACUCCUACGGGAGGCAGCGGUGGGGAAUAUUACACAAUGGGGGGAAGCCUAAUGCGGCAACGCCGCGUGCGGGAUGACGGCCUGGGGGUUGUGAACCGAUUUCGCCUGUGACGAAGCGUGAGUGACGGUAAUGGGUAAAGAAGCACCGGCUAACUACGUG
rnacentral:rRNA from 1 species